CCGACCGGAAGUGGGCACACACAUAUCCGAUCGGGUUCCUGGGGAUAUGACCGAUCAGAUGGGUGCCUAAAAAACUGUGAAGACAAUGAUUGAAUGUGCAAAAUUAUUAAAGGAGACAGAGGAGGGACCCCUUGUUUACCUAAAUGGGCAGCAAAUCCCUUGUUUACCCAGCAAAUAUGGGUGGUGGGUCCCCGCACUUCCAGUGCUCUAGUCCUUAUUACGAAUUCUAUCAUUACCUCCAAAAGAUUGAUUUGACAUUGAGGAAUGAUUAGAAAAUCUAAUCUAAAAAUCAUAUAAAUAAAUGAUCCCAGGAUCAGGUAAGAGAUCUAUCUAUUCUGAUAUAAUGAUAUAUGGAGAAAAACCCAUUCUGACUUGAGCGUCGGAGUGUUUAUUGCAGGUCCACCCCCCCUUUACAUUGAGACCGACCGCAGAGGAAGCUAGAAGGAAGAACGACCGCAGAGGAAGAAAGAAGGAGCAUCAACCGCUGGAGGAGGAGUGUUUCAGGACGGAGACGGCUGGAAUCUUCCCCGGUCCAAUUCCGCAGAAACAAGUUGGAUGGAAAUAAAGUUAAAAUUUGUAUCUUUUGAGUUUAGAAUAUUGUAUGAUGGCUAGUGAUUAUUGAAUUUGGUUUUAGUCUUAGUUGCUGUGCUGAAAAGAUUGAAUGUAACUAAGUAGGCAAAUGUUGUAGUUGCAAGGGAUAUUUAGGAAAUAAAGAUGCAGAGAAGUUUCUGUAAUAUGGUCAUGAGCACGUGGUUUUGGGGACUAAGUUAAUAUGUAGGAAUGUUAAAUACUGAUGCAUGUAUCAUAUUGGGGUAAUGGGGUUAAACCUAUUUGUUAAUUUGUUUGGACGAUUUAAUAAGAGAAUGAAAGUUUAUGUUGAGAUAGUUAACUGCUGUUAAGAUAAAUUCUAAAUUUGUUCGUUCACGUGGGUUUGAUUUAAGGUGUUUAGGGCUUUUAAUCUGAUGUUAGGGUGAAUUGGUUCAUGGUAGUUGAGUAUGUUGCUUGUAUCUAGGUUAUUUUCAAGAUGUGCAGAUGUUAAAAAAUGUACUGAGUUUUGUAAUGUUUAUAUUUUGAAUGGGAGUUGUGGUUUUGGAGAAAUAUAAUGGGGGAUAAUUUGUUAAAGUUUAAGAAAAGUAAAAAUAUUAAUUAUGGUGACAUGUCGUAUAAAAUGGUUGGAUGUUUUGUUUAUACUUUGUUCAGGUUUUUGUAGGCAUAGGAAGUAAAUAAGAGUGCUAUGAUCAUUUUCGGUGCUCUGUUAAUAAAAUAGAUUAUUAUAUGCGUUAGAAAGAUUAGUAAAGUAGUCAAGUCUGAUUCAGUAGUUUAAUUUAUAUUGUGUAUAAUUAUUAGUAUUAGAUGAACUUUAGGUAUGCUGGAUGUUUGAUUAAUUAUGGGUUCUUUGUGAUUAAAUGAUUUGUAAUAGUAUGGAAUGGUUGAGUAGAAGUAAUAUAGAUGCAGUUUAUGGUAUAUAUAUGUACUAUCAUCACUAAUGAGUCGGAGUUAGUAAUCUGGUGUCAGACUUUGUAUGUAUCAAUUGAAAUUAUGAUAUUAUAUGGUAUAUGUUUUGAUGAGUAAAUGUUUAAAAAGGGUAAGGAUAAUUCUACUGGAGUCCGGGCUUUCUGAUUUGAUUGGUAGAGAUGAUUUUGGUUGAGUCUGACGAAGUGUUGGGGUUUCUUGUUGAUGAUUGGAUGAAACUUUGAAUCCUGGAGCUUUAAAAAGCUAUUUAGUCUGAUUUAAUUGCCGAAGUUCAUUUGUUCGUGGUUGGAUUAAUGUAGCAUGAUUUUAACUGUUAUUGUGUUCUCUGCGUGAUUGGGUUUGUGUGAUUCUGGUUUUGUCUAUCUGGUUGAUGCGUAUUACGGCCCUGGGGAGGCUCUGUUAGUGUGUUUAUGAUUUCUCCGUGCUUAAGGCGUUUCCAAACCAUUUCUACUGCAGUUAAAAACUAAGAGGGGAGGAAGAAUUGGAAUCUGAAGUUUUUCGUUUUUGAAUUUGUUGUAUUUCUAUUUUUAUUAGUAAAAAAAAAAUAUGACUUGCGAGUAUUCCAAAUGGUCAUAAUGUUCUUAACACCGAGUACAUGUCUCUCGUGGAUACAAUGCCUAUGUUAGCAUACACGCUUUGUACACCUAGACACUCUUUUUGUUUCUUUGGAUGUUGAGAAAUUACCGAUGGGAUAAGGAAGCUGCAAUGUCCAGUGAUGGAUUUGCAGGAGCCUCAGCAGCCACCCUAAUUGAAAUGCUUUUUGAGGUGGAGAGCAAAGUUUCUGGCUUAUUCUACAUACCAUGGGAACCAGAGGAGUAAUUGGGGACAAGUGGUCCAUGAGAAUUCUUUGGGCUUGUGCUAUUGGAAGUGCUGUGGGCCUGUAUAUGGUUGCUGUAGAAAGGCAAACACAGAACAGGGCGAGGAUGCUGGCUGAAGAACUAAGGGCAACGGAGUCAGGGGGGAGCAAUGGCGAAGACGGCUGAACUAUGUUACGCUAUAUCUUGCGAUGAUUAUGUAGUAUCAUAAAGCAUAUGCAAAGUUUCAGAUUUUCUGGAAGGUUAUGAUUUUAAAGUUUUACGCAUCCUUUCUCCAUUUGCUAAUAGUAUCGAGAAUUUUACCUGGGGGAAAUAAGUGGAUUUUCAUUUCAAAUGCGUAAUGGAAAGAAUUGAAAUAAGCUUUGUAACCUCCUUUUUAACAUUUUAGCAAAUUAGCCAGUCAAGUUACUUUUAAAUUGUAUGUGCUUUAAUGAUUGAUUUUGCCUAUGUUUUGUUAAACAAAUGCAAAUACUUUAUUUGCUUGAAUCGAUG
rnacentral:sRNA from 1 species